GUGUGCGAGAGAGAGAGACAGAGAAAGAGUGAGUGAGUGAGUGAGUGAGUGAGAGAGAGAGGGACAGAGAGAGUGAGUGUGUGAGAAAGAGCGUGAGUGAGUGAGAGUGUGAGAGACAGAGGGAGAGAGGAGUUCUGCCCGUACAGAAAGAAUGCUUGAGCAGAGUCGUUCUCCUUCCCUCUGACCCACUCUCUGAAUGCACUACAGCUCGAGGGAGAAGAGGUGGACGCUGGGAUGGAUAAGCCAAACAUUCUGAGGCGCCGCGGACUAAAGAAGGAGCUGAGCCUGCAGAGAAGACCCAGUUUUUUGUCUCCCACAUGCCAGAGCCCCACCAUCGUGAGCCCAUGCAGCCCCUGCAGCCCCUGCAGCCCCUUACAAACCUUACAUCCCUGGAGGUAAGACACUUCACUCACACACACACACACUCACACACAAUUGAUUUUCUUUGCAAUUACCACAGUUCAAAUCACCACACACAAACACACACACACACACACACACACACAC
ensembl:lncRNA